ACUGCAAGCAGCAGCUACACUGAUGCAACCCACCAAGGUGGGUGUGCCUUCUAGGACCAGCCUUCAACUAAGGUCCUCUCAAAGUGUUUCCAAGGCUUUUGGCUUGGAACCAGCCAGUGCUAGGAUUUCUUGCUCUUUGCAAUCUGACCUUAAAGACUUGGCUCAAAAGUGUGUAGAUGCCAGUAAGAUAGCUGGUUUUGCUCUUGCUACUUCAGCUCUUGUUGUCUCGGUGAGUAUGUCUUAGUCUGAUGUUUUUGAACUUCCAAUGGUUGUAUGAUCAGAUUAAUGUUAGACUAUAGUUUGAUUGGCCUGAUAAUGUCCUGACCCUGCCUUGUUUCUGUGCAUUUUUUGUACACAUACUGCCCUCUUAAUCAUAGUAUAGUGUUAAUGGACUUGGUUUAACAGCUUAUUUUCAUGUAAGAUGGCUAGGAAAAGAAGAAGUAUCUAUCCUUUUGAGAAUUGAUAAUAUUGUAGCAAAAAACUCAUUUUGUAUGAUGAUUCUUUUAGUUUAGGAUCACUGUCUAGGCUCAAUUUUCAGAAGGGUGUGAUUCAAAGCAGUGGAAGUAAACAGUCCUAUUUUGUGCUGCUUGCACUGUCCACAUGUUUUAGUGUUCAGAACUUGAUAGGAGAAUUUUAAGUUUGAGGGUUAGUGCUUGAUCAACGAGGAAUUAGAAGAAAUGCUUAUUAUGAGUUCACAUGCAUGGUAAGAUCUUCCUAAUUAGUUAGUGUGGGUUGAUUAUUAGAGAGCAUCCUUUGCUGAACUUUUUUUGUUUUUUAAAAGAAAGAUGUCAGUGUUACAUUGAGGAGUAAAUCUGACCCCGGAGGUGAUCGCUUUUUGUAUCUCAGGGAGCAAGUGCUGAAGGAGUUCCGAAGAGGCUGACCUAUGAAGAAAUCCAGAGCAAGACAUACAUGGAAGUAAAAGGAUCUGGAACUGCUAACCAAUGCCCAACCCUUGACGGAGGACUUGAUGCAUUUGCCUUCAAGCCCGGCAAAUACAAUGCUAAGAAGAUCUGCUUAGAGCCAACUUCAU
rnacentral:lncRNA from 1 species